AGUUUGUACGGAUGCUAAGUAUUUUGUGUGGGCAAGAAUCAACUGUAGAAGGCAUUGUCGUCUCUGUUACAACCAGACUAAUAACUGGAAUGGAACUUACACAGGCGGUCAGAUUCCAGGAAAGAUACCAACAGGUCUGGAAACAGCAACUACCCAGCUACCAUCUACAACAGCUACUCCCCGACCCGUGCCUACAAAUGGACAUCUUAUAGGUGGACAGAAUACCUUUAUUGUUGAAGGA